rnacentral:rRNA from 1 species
GGAAUAUUGGACAAUGGGGGCAACCCUGAUCCAGCCAUGCCGCGUGUGUGAAGAAGGCUUUCGGGUUGUAAAGCACUUUCAGUGGGGAGGAAAGGCCCAGGGCGAAUACCUCUGGGAGUUGACGUUACCCACAGAAGAAGCACCGGCUACUUCCGUGCCAGCAGCCGCGGAAAUACGGAAGGUGCGAGCGGUAAUCGGAAUUACUGGGCGUAAAGCGCGCGUAGGCGGCUUGGUCAGUCGGGUGUGAAAGCCCUGGGCUCAACCUGGGAAUUGCGUUCGAUACUACCAAGCUGGAGUACGAGAGAGGAGAGUGGAAUUCCAGGUGUAGCGGUGAAAUGCGUAGAGAUCUGGAGGAACAUCAGUGGCGAAGGCGGCUCUCUGGCUUGAUACUGACGCUGAGGUGCGAAAGCGUGGGGAGCAAA